AGCUGGUUAUCGAAUGAUGUCAGUUCUAAAUCCCGAACUUUGUCGCAAGGUAACAUUACGCCAUUGCGCUUCCUUGGUAGCACUAUCCACGCUACUUCCGGUAUGUGACGUCACAACAUGGUGGCUCGCUUUGGAUUCACUUCCGGUCAAUCUGUGGUUCACAUGGCUGGCAUGGAAAUUUCACAAACAAUCCGAUAAUAAGUCCGCAAGGGAGUUAUUUCGCUUCAGCUUGCUUCAUUUGCCCAUAUUAAUGUUUCUUGUUUUAUUUCAUAAGAAGUCCAGAAAAGCUGAACCAUUAGACAUCGAAAACAGUUUACAAGGUUGAGAAAUUUUAAACAAGAUUUGAGACAGUUAAGGUCUCAGUUGGGCGCUGGUUUCUAUUUGUCGAAAAGAUAGAGACGCAUUAGACUAGAGGUGUGCGAAUCCGAUCCGAAUCCGAUUCGUUCGGAUUUCGGAACAAAAAUAUUCAUUUCGGAUUGGAUCGGAUUGAUAAAGUUGUUUCGUAGUCGGAUCGGACUUCGAUAUUCGAAAUAAAAUGAAUUAAUUAUCCACGACAACGCGGUUGUCGCUGUAUUAAUCGUUUGAUACUUCAAUUGGACGUCAUUUUGUCAGCUUCUUGACAUGUAUUUCCUCCUUUUAUAUUUAUUUGGUUAAAUAUUUCCACUUGAAUGAGAAAUUUAUUUUAUUAAAGGAUUCUUCGGAUUGGAUCGGAAUUCUUUAUCAAACUCGGAUUAGACAAUUUCGGAUCGGAUCGGAUUUUAAACAUUAGCCAAUUGUCGGAUUAUAAACGUCCAAUCCGAUCCGAUGCACACCUCUACAUUAGACCAUAGUCUGUCAAGAUAUGAUGACCUGGAAGCCUGGCAGACCUUUGUUUGAUGUUGAACUGUACCUCACCGUGCACAGAUCAUUUGUCUCAACUUCAUUAGUAUCAGAAAGUUUGAGCAAGACAAUGAAGUCGAAGACAUAUACUUGAUAAUUUUUGCCCGUCUGCACAUUAUCUUUCGCAUACUGAGUUUGAGGUCACUAGUGGUUGCUCAACAUUUCUUAUCGUUAUAGAUUCAUGUCCCGCUGUUUAUGAAUACUGACCCUAAUUCCUUACCCUGACCUGGACAAAACAGCAAGACGUGAAGCUCUAUCCUGUCUUUGUUCUUCUGCCUCAGAACGAAUAGACUUGCUCCAAGUCUCUCUUUCAUUGUCAUAUGGUAUCGAUCCACUAUAGUGUACAUUACAUGACGUAGCACGGAGAGGCGGAGCGAGAAAGAGAGACUUGUGACUUGUCAACUUCGGAAAAUCUCGGUUUAAAAUUUAAUUGUUUUCUGUCGGUGUUUAUAUUUAUUGAUCUAGCACAGUGUAAAUAACAUGAGUUCCAUUAUAGUAAAUAAUACAGUAAGAAAUUGAAGGAAAACAAUUAAGCAAGUCUUGCAUUUUCGGUUAAGUUUUGAACCGAGAUUUUCCGAAGUUGACAAGUCUCUCUUUCUCGCUCCGCCCCUCCGUACUACGUCAUGUAAUGUACACUAUAGUGGAUCAAUACUAUAUGACAAUGAAAGAGAGACUUGGAGCAAGUCUACAGAACGAAGUUCACGAAAAAUUUUGCCAAAAUAUUCGUUCUGAACGAAGGCAGAAGAUCGAAGACGGGCUAUGGAUUCAUCAUUCGUGUCUCGUCGUUCUGUCUGUGGCAGGGUUAAGCCUGGUUUCCAUAUGGUCGUAACGGUCGUAAAGAUUGAGUCGCGAUCUUUCUCAACAGCUGAAAUACAACUUUUAGAACUGAAAAUACGUGGAGUGAUUAUAACUAGAGAAUACUUAUGAUUUAUAUGUGGUUUACAGGUAUAAACUAUUAUAAACUGGCCGUUGAGAAAGAUCGUGACUCUAUUUUUACGACCAUUAUAUAUGUCCAUAUGGAAACCAGGUUUAAGGAUUAUGGUCAGCAUUCAUAAACAGCGAGACAUGAAUCUAUAACUUGCCUUCGUUAAACGAUCAUUGCUGACCCUAAACUCAGUAUGCGCGAGAUAAUGCGCAGACGGGCAACAAUGGACCUAUUGUCUAAUAAACAAAAUUUUGAUCUAGACAAGUCUAGACAAACAUUUUAUCACAGCUUGAAAGAGCAUCACAAAAUUAGUAAUAUUCCGAAGUUUCGUUGCAAAAUGUUGUAAAAUGCAGAUAAUAUAGCCCUGCGAAGCUUCUCAUUUUGUAUUUAAUACGCGCGGGAAAUUGUACCUUUUUUCAGAAAGCGGGACCAAUUUCCCUUGCGUAAUACAAAAUACGUGCUCCCUUGCUCAUAUUUUCUAUUAUUCAUCGUGGUUGCACGUUUCAUCUCAGCCAUGCUAUAUUUAACGAUUACUUCGGCUAGUAAUACGAAAACACAAUGAGCUCAAUUACCGUGACCGUGCACAAAUUCAGGGUGCGAUAAUUCGCGUACUUACGUAUACCGGAGGUACGCCAGUAUUACAGUCUGGUACUUCUUUGUUUUCAGCCAAGUACCACGUAGGUGCGCGGAACUCUUGCUAUCUGCGUAAUUACAUGUUGCUGGCACCAGAUGUCCUUCUCAAGCCAAACAUAUUCAAUACCGUAGUAAAAGUAGGUCUAAUAUAAUAUCAUAAUAUGUGUCAAGCUUUCGUUGGUAGGGAUGCAAUGGACCAAUCCCUAAUUAACCAAAAUUUUGAACUCAACCAUUCCAGACAAAAAUUUCAUCACAGCUUGAAAGAGCAUCACAAAAUUAGUAAUAUUCCAAAGUUUCGUUGCAAAAUGUUGUAAAAUGCGGAUAAUAUAGCCUUGCGAAAUUUGCAACUUUCAGUCAUUUUGUAUUACAAGCGGGAAACGGUUUCCACUUCCGUGCGUAAUACAAAAUGACUGAAAAUUAUAAACUUCGCAAGGCUAUAUUAUCAGCAUUUUACAACAUUUCGCAACGAAACUGCGGAAUGUUACUAAUUUUGUGAUGCUCUUUCAAGCUGUGAUGAAAUUUUUGUUUAGGCUAGUUGAGAUAAAAAUUUUGGAAAAGUGGUAACCGUUUCCCGUUCGUAAUACAAAAUGACUGAAAGUUGCAAAUUUCGCAAGGCUAUAUUAUCCGCAUUUUACAACAUUUUGCAACGAAACUUUGGAAUAUUGCUAAUUUUGUGAUGCUCUUUCAUGCUGCAUGUGAUGAAAUUUUGCCUAGACUUGUUGAGAUCAAAAUUUUGGUUAAUUGGGGAUUGGCCCAUUACCUGAAAAAUAUAAAGCGAAUUUCGACGUUUCGAGCGAAGGCCCUUAGUAAUUCACAGGCCUUCAAAAUUUUCCUUCGAAAUUCUCCUUAUAUUUUUCAGGUAGUUGCGUCCCUACAAAUAACGAAAGCUUGUUCAUUUCAUUGGCACUAUACCUACACUGGCAAAUACAGUUCUAACAUGUGCCACCAUGAUCGAAACAUGAUUGGACUGAUGGCACUAAGGAAUUUUGAAGUCGAUUGUUCGUAUAUAUGCAAUAGACAACUUGUAUGUUAGAUUAAUUUUUGAUUUAGGCAAAAAAAGUGUAAUUCCCGUAAAGAACUUAUUAAAAUUAGUAAAAUUGCACAAUUUGGUUACGAAAUGUUGUAAAGCUUGGAAAAUAUAGCGUUGCGAAGUUUGCAUGUUUUGUAUAUGUUUGUAUUACGUGCGGAAAUUGUUACCUUUUUUGAGCCGAAAAUGGUAAAAAUUUCUGCACGUAAUACAAACAUAUACAAAAUUUGCAAGCUUUGCAAGGCUAUAUUUUCCAAGCUUUACAACAUUUCCCAACCAAAUUUUACAAUUAAAAUUCAGUCAUUCUAAUUUCAUUUUCCUCUUUACUUAGAUUAAAAUUUAGUCUAACAUGCAAGUUGUCCAUUGUCCUUCUUGUUCCAACUCGUAGUUUGAAUAUACUUUCAGGAACAUGUACUUUAUAAGUACACAUUGAGUGUGAACUUAAGAUGAGCUAAAUCUAGUACGCGGACGUGACAAAAAGACAGUUAAAACUUCUGCUUUUCUUUUGGAUUUGUUACCAGUUAAGACCCCGUUCACACGAUACCGGCAGAGUUUGAAAACGGAACGAAAUUCUUACGUUUGGGGGUUGCGUUCACACGAUGCCGGUAUGAAAAAAAUUGAAACCGUAACGCUAACCGUAAGAGUUUGAAAACGAUAUGCAAACCGUAAGAGUUUGAAAACGGAACGAAAUUCUACCGUCAGAGUGCCGUGUGAACGCCUAACCGUAAGAAUUUCAUUACGUUUAUGCAAAAUGAAAUUAACAAAACUGCAAAAGUUGUUGUUGGAUAUUUUAUUCUGUCUAUUUUAACUGAUUUGUGCAGCAUAUUGUCAAAGCGGAAUAUAAUCUGCCAGUAUCGUGUGAACAGUUGAAACCGUGAUGAUUUUCUGCCGGCAGAAUUCUAUGCCGGUAUCGUGUGAACAUACAGGGUCUAAAUUUGUUCUUCACCUGUAUCCUUCUUUGUUGACAAAAAGAAUCCAUAUUUUUUACCCGUGUUGCUCACACUGCAAAUUUAGAGUGAUUUUUGUCACGUCCGCGUACUAGAUUUAGCAAUGACAUCUUAAGUUCUCUUGUACUAGCGCAAGUACCCGGCGAUAAUCGUUGGCGUACCUGUCGGGUACAAGUAAAAAUCUGAAAUUAUCACACCCUGAAAUUAACAUAAACUCAGACAAAAACAUGACAUCAUGACGUCUGUUUAGUUUUCAGACCAUCCUAUCUUGAUCUAGACUAUGACUCGAUGCUUCCUGAACUUGCUUCACUGCACACGAAAAGGCUGACAGUAGGCAAAUCCAGCUUUUAAUUUAUGCGCGCAGGGGGUGACGGGAAGUGAGGUAUCAUAUUGCUGAUUAUCCGUGUUUACACGGCCGCCAUUUUUAUUUUUUCAGCAUAAUCAGCAAUAUGAUACCUUACUUCCCAUCCCCCUCUACGCGUAUAAAUUAAAAGCUGGAAUUGCCUAUGGAGCCUUACCCAUAGAUAUCUUAUAUACACUAGAUAGCGCAUCUCUUUUAGUAAAAUUGAAGCCAAGAAUAUUCCAGCGGUUACCCCCAUUUGAAUAGAUUGGCGGCCAUGUUGAAGUUUCCCACUCGCUAAUAAACGCUUAAGAAACAACAACAACUUUCAUCAUUUGAAUAGUUUGAAAAAUUGAAAAUGUAUUUGGAAUAGGUUAAACUUAAUGUUUAAGUUCCCUGUUUAAGAAAUAGAAAACAUACGAGUCUUCUCAUUUCAUGAGAAUGUCUACCCUGGAUUCCAGAGCCUUCGAUAGUAAAUAAUAAAUUGAAAUGUCGCGAAGGCUCUGGUUCAACGGGGCGAUUCUUUGAUUAAACCGCGCGGUUUAAUCAAAGAAUCGCCCCGUUGAACCAGAGCCUUCGCGACAUUUCAAUUUAUUAUUUACCGUCGAAGGCUCUGGAAUCUCGGGUGGAGAAGGUCCUGAAUUGCAGAAUAAUUAGAUGCACUAUCUAAUGUAUAUAAGAUAUCUAUGGCCUUACCUCGCCGUAUUCCAUGUGUGCUCCAUAUAGACCUGGGGCGAGAACUCGAGCUCUGUUGGACAUCAGUUCCAGUCUCUUUCUAUUGUUUUUGUUUGCGCGGUCAACACGAAGCUGGCAAUUAGGAGUGUGCCGAAAUUUCGUAUUUUGACAUCGACUUAAAGAAUAACACUAUGGUUUUAUGAACUGAUAAACUUGGUUAGCGAUACGGUCCUUUAGAAAAAUCUGGAAUUACUGUAGUUGGGGAAGGUGGUAUUUUUAAAACCAUUUUACGACCUUCCGAUAGCUAUUCGACGUCAAUUUCUGCCAUCAUGGCUUCACAUUUACAAACUUCAAAUGAUAAACUUGAUCGAAAGUAACUAAUUUGAAUUCUUCAAUUUUAUAAAAAAAUAUAUUUUAUAUUUGGACAAGUUAGAAUAUUGGUGUCGCCACCUUAAGUGAUUCUUGAACGCAAACUGUGGUUGUUUUUAAUUCGUCAAAUAGCAAUGGAUUAAAACGAUAUGAUUUCAAUUCGCACAAAAAUCUGAAACUUCUACUAAAGCUAACGUUGUAAUACCAUCAAAUAUACUGGGGGCAUUCUUUUUGGGACACCCUGCAUAGUAGGAAAUUUUAAAAUAUUCAGGAAAUUACCUAUUAGGGUUAUUUUAGAAAAUUUUAUUUUAGCCUGGUUUCCAUAUAUGGUCGUAAAAAUAGUCACGAUCUUUCUGAACGGCCAGUUUGUAAUAGUUUAUACCUGUAAACCAUAUAUAAAUCAUAAUUAUUCUCUAGUUAUAAUCACCACGUAUUUUCAGUUCUAAAAUGUUGUAUUUUGGCUGAUGAGAAAGAUCGUGACACAAUGUUUACGACCGUAUGAAAACCAGGCUUUUGAGUUCACGCGCGAGCAAUUAAACGAGGUUUAUCACGAGAAACGCUCAUUGUAUGGAUUUAUACAAAGUCAAGGCUAACAUGUUUAAAAUACGAAAGCUAUUCCCGUGAUCAUUAUGGUAUUAUAUAUAAUCAUCUUGUGUGGUAAAGUUGGGGGCUGCUAAUAUAAUUAGCACAAAGCAAAAAAGGUAUGUUUGCACAAAAACAUUUAUCGCAUUGUAUUCUGACAUUUGUAUUCCUUUUAAUCUACCGGUAAUUUGAUUGUUUUUCCCAUUUCGGGAAAUUCUACUUUCGCAAUGUGCCUCGAGUUUGUCAACAAAGAAUGGUGACGUCUCUAAAUCUAACCUUCAUGAGGGCGUAAACCACUCUAAAACGGUUUCGAAUCCCUUCUUUUUCCAUAUUUCGAGACUAUUAGAAGCCACAAAACUGCACCGAAAGGUCAUCUAAUACUAACGCCGCAGAAAAACGUCUGCGCAUGCGCAAGAACUAGACCUUUAUGAAAUUAAAUAAAAAGUCUGAUUUGAACGGAUGUAUCGAGCGCUUUGACGUACAAAAUGGUCAAUUACCAAAAUUUAGACUUACGAAACAAACAUAUUCCUAAGAAGGCAAGGCUCUUGAAGUAAGAGUCUUAACAUCCUAAACCUUCCGAGUGAGUCAUCAAGUUUAAUUGUUGUUUACGCAAAAGUUUUUGAUUCUAUAUUAUUGAGAAAAAUGUGGAUCAUAUGAACCUGCGAUAGAAGUUUCAGAUUUUUAUACUAGAUAAAAUGAUUAUCCUAUUGUUUUAAUCCAUUUAUAUUUGAAUUAUCAAAAUAACCAGCUAUUUGCCUUCUAGAUUCAUUUAAGGGGGCGACACAAUAUUUCAACUUGUCCAAAUUAUGGGAAUUAGGUCAAAACUAUUUCAGGCAUUUUAAGAAGAAUUCCCACCUGUCUACUCUAAAGACAGGAUUUGUGCUGCCUAAUAUUAAAGAUUUCGUUUGAUUGGAGCUUGCAUGGGCAGAAACUGGAUACAACUGCCGUCAAAUUUCUGGUUUUGUGGACGAAAUCCUGGAUAAAGAGUCGUACGAAUAAGAGCGAAAAGUUAUUGUAAGACACAUGAACAUUGAAUUUUUAAAAUACAAUUUCGCAACGGCCAGUUUAUAACAGUUUAUACCUAUAAACCACAUAUAAAUCAUAAGUAUUCUUUAUCAGUGCUUCCAUUUGCAAGGAAAUUUCAAAAGGAAAUUUUGGCCUUUGCAAGGAAAUGUGCAAGGAAAUAAAUUUUACAAGGAAAUGGCAAGGAAUUUUGUUGUCAGGCAGGAAAUACGAAGGGUAUUAAGUUAUAUAUAUAUUAUACGGAUAUUAUAUCGCUCCAGAAAAUGUUGAAAAUCCUAUCCUGGGGGAAAAGGAAAAUCUGAAAAAUUUCUGAGGGAUGAUCUCAAGCCCCCUGUUACUUCUACUUCGAAUAAAUUUA